UACGUAGGUGGCAAGCGUUGUCCGGAUUUACUGGGCGUAAAGAGCGCGCAGGCGGUCGUUCAAGUCGCGUGUGAAAGCCCCCGGCUCAACUGGGGAGGGUCACGCGAUACUGAUCGACUCGAAGGCAGGAGAGGGUAGUGGAAUUCCCGGUGUAGUGGUGAAAUGCGUAGAUAUCGGGAGGAACACCAGUGGCGAAGGCGGCAUCCUGGACUACUACUGACGCUGAGGAGCGAAAGCCAGGGGAGCAAACGGG
rnacentral:rRNA from 1 species